rnacentral:rRNA from 1 species
UCGCCUGUUUAACAAAAACAUGGCCUCUUGUGUUAAAAAUAAAAGAGGUCUGGCCUGCCCGGUGAGGUAAUCUUUAAACGGUCGCAGCUUCCACUGUGCGAAGGUAGCGCGAUAGGUCGCUCUUUAAUUGGGAGAGAGUAUGAAUGGUCGGAUGUUGGAAAAACUUUAUUUAAAGUAGUAGCUGAAAUUUACUUCUUAGUGCAAAGGCUAAGAUAUUUUUAUUAGACGAGAAGACCCUGUUGAGCUUGAUUACCCUUUUUCCUUUUGAUUUUGGUUAAAUUUUUUCGGGGCUGAAAGGAAGGGAUGUGUAAUGCCUUCUUGAAUAUUAUAAGGAUCCAGCAUGGCUGAUAAGAAGAAGAUAGCUACCACAGGGAUAACAGCGCAAUCUUUUUGACAAGGCCAUAUUUAAUAAAAGGUUUGCGACCUCGAUGUUGAAUCAAGGUUUCUACUUAGGUGCA